CAAUAGCGUAUAUUAAAGUUGUUGCAGUUAAAACGCUCGUAGUCGGAUUUCGGGGCGGGGCCGCCGGUCUGCCGAUGGGUAUGCACUGGCGGUCGCGUCCUUCCUUCCGGAGACUGGCCCUACUCUUAACUGAGCGGGGUCGGGAGACGGAUCGUUUACUUUGAAAAAAUCAGAGUGUUUCAAGCAGGCAGCUCGCUCUUGCAUGGAUUAGCAUGGGAUAAUGAAAUAGGACUUUGGUGCUAUUUUGUUGGUUUCGAACACCGAAGUAAUGAUUAACAGGGACAGUCAGGGGCACUCGUAUUCCGCCGAGAGAGGUGAAAUUCUCAGACCAGCGGAAGACGAACCACUGCGAAAGCAUUUGCCAGGGAUGUUUUCACUGA
rnacentral:rRNA from 1 species